CUAAUACCGCAUACGCUUUGAGAAGGAAAGCAGGGGAUCUUAGGACCUUGCGCUAUUCGAGCGGCCGACGUCUGAUUAGCUAGUUGGUGAGGUAAAGGCUCACCAAGGCAUCNAUCAGUAGCGGGUCUGAGAGGAUGAUCCGCCACACUGGGACUGAGACACGGCCCAGACUCCUACGGGAGGCAGCAGUGGGGAAUUUUGGACAAUGGGCGCAAGCCUGAUCCAGCCAUGCCGCGUGUCUGAAGAAGGCCUUCGGGUUGUAAAGGACUUUUGUCAGGGAGGAAAUCCCUAGCGCUAAUAUCGCUGGGGGAUGACAGUACCUGAAGAAUAAGCACCGGCUAACUACGUGCCAGCAGCCGCGGUAAUACGUAGGGUGCAAGCGUUAAUCGGAAUUACUGGGCGUAAAGCGUGCGCAGGCGGUUGUGUAAGUCUGAUGUGAAAGCCCCGGGCUUAACCUGGGAACUGCAUUGGAGACUGCAC
rnacentral:rRNA from 1 species